GGUUCCAGCAGCACGUCGGGAGCCACCCCGUGCCCGGAAAGCUCCCGCCCACCCUGGAGCCACCUCAGCUGCCCCUGCAGGGGAGAAAUCCAGCCCGGAGCAGAGCAGGGGGCGGGGCCGGGCUGGGCUGGGAGCUCGAUGGACAGGGGCACUGGGAGAGCAGAGGAGAGACUGGGAUGGACUGAGGAGGCACUGGGAGAGAAGGGAGACACUGGGAUGGGCUGAGGGGGCACUUGGAGAAAGAAGGGAAAGUUAUUUGCCCCUUUCCUGGGCACUGGAACACCCUCUGCACCUCCGUUCCCGGCCAUGCCGGCUCUCCUUCCCCCCAAGCCAUGAACAGGUUUUGGGGCUCCCUCAUGGGUCGCAGCCAAUAGAACGGCUCUGCUAGAGUGACGUCAUUGGCAAAUUAUGUGGCCCCUCUCCUCGUGCUGCCCUGCCUCACAACUGCCAGCCCGACUCCCAAAAUUGAAAAUGGAAGAAGAUUCCUGCCAGAAUAACGGUACCAGAACAGAAAGCUCUUGCUGCUCAUGGAAUGCUCAGCCUGGCCCACAAAGCCAAAGCUUCCAGGCUCUUUCCUGGUGAUAAGGGCUGUUGUUUCCUGUUUUGAGCCCUGCCUCACAACUGCCAGACUGACUCCCAAAAUUGCAUACAAAGAUUCCUCCCACACCAAAGGUGCCAGCACAGAAAGCUCUUGCUCCCCAUGGAUUCCCCAGGAUGACAAACCAACUGCACCACAAUCCAAAGCUUCUAGGCUUUCUUUCCUGGCGAUUAGGGCUUUUGUUUCCUAUUUUCAGACCUGCCUCCCAACUGCCAGCCCGACUCCCAAAAUUGCAUACAAACAAAUAUUCCUUCCAGAACAAAACUGCCAGAACAGAAAGCUCUUGCUGCCCAUGGAGUGCCCAGAAUGACACACCAGCUGUUCAACAAAGCAAAAGCUUCCAGGCUUUCUGGGGAUAAGGGCUGUUGUUUCCUGUUUUCAGCCCUGCCUCCCAACUGACAGCCCAACUCCCAAAAUUGCAUAUGGACAAAGAUUCCCCACAAACUAAAGUUGCCAGCAGAGAAAGCUCUUGCUGCCCAUGGAGUGCCCAGGCUGGCCCACCAACUGCACCACAAAGCCAAAGCUUCCAGUCUUUCUUUCCUGGAGAUAUGGGCUGUUGUUUCCUGUUUCCAGCCUUACCUCCCAACUUCCAGCCCUACUCCCAAAAUUGCAAACAGACAAAGAUUCCUCCCACGCCAAAGGUGCCAGCACAGAAAGCUCUUGCUCCCCAUGGAGUCUCCAGGCUGACAAACCAACUGCACCACAAAGCAAAAGCUUCCAGUUUUUCUCUACUGGCGAUAAGGGCUGUUAUUUCCUGUUUUCAGACCUGCCUCAAAACUGCCAGCCUGACUCCCAAAAUUGCAUAAGGAUGAAGAUUCCUCCGAGGCAAAAAGUGUCACACCAGGAAAAUUUUGCUGCCCAUCAAGUCCCCAGGCUGGCCCACCAACUGCACCAGAAAGCCAAAGGUUACAGGCUUUCUUUUCUGUGGAGAAUGGCUGUUUUUGCUUUUUUCAGCUCUCUGAUAAAAAUGCCAGAUGGAGUCCUAAAAUUGAAUACGGACCUAACCCUAAACCUACUACUAAAUCUUAACCAUAACCCAAACCCUAGCCCCGACCCUAACCCCAAGUAUAACCCUAACCCUAACAUCAACCUUAACUCUAACCCUAACCUAACCCUAACCCUAAAUCCUAACCCUAACCCUAAACCUAACCCUAAAUCCUAAUCCUAACUCCAAUCCUAACCCUAACUCUAACCCUAAAUCCUAAACCUAACCGUAACCCUAACCCUAACCCUAACCCUAACCCAAAACCCUCUUCCACUCUCGCACAUCUGAGUUGCUAACCAUAAACAGCCCAGCAGCUGAGACCCUGUAAAAUGUCCUAACCUGCCUGACCAUCCUAUUAAGUUUAGAUAAGGAGCAGAGUUGCUUUGUAAGCUUAAGAGGGGCCUCCAACACUCAAGGCUGUGAAACAACUCAGAAGCAAGAAGAUACAACAAUAAUUUAGGGACUAGGAUCAAGAGAUACGUGCUAAAACCAGGAAAAGGACUGUAAGUGCAAAAAAGGGUCGCUAGAUGGCAGUAAAGACCGUGUGAGAAUUCCAGCUUUUCUCUGCAAAUUUCCCUGGGAGAAGUGGAGCUGAAAAAUUUUUGCCAGACAAAAACACUGCAAGAGAGACAGAACAGAUAGCUGGGAAAGCUGAGAAGGGAAAUGGAAGGCACCAGCCUUAAACUGCACACCUCCAAGGACCACAUAUUGCAUGUUUUCCUCAGCUCCAUGUAACCUGAAGCACUUUAAGGCUGGCAGAGUUCAGAACGUCCACUACAAGCUCCCGCACAAUAAAACCGGCAAGGCCAAAAGUCGUUGCUGAAUUCGCCCUUCUCCUUGCAGCCUUUCAAAUCUGCACUACACCCUGGGACUAGGCACUUUCCUUCUCACAUGGAUGGACUCUCACCUUCUCUUCCACUCUCACAGAUCUCACUUGCUAACCGAAAAGAUUCCAGCAGCUGAGCCCAUGCGAAAUAGCCUAGAAGGAAAAUUCACAGCUGAUUUUACUCUUCCCCUGAAACCUAAGAACUACACCAAGCUCAUGACUGCAUUGCACUUCUCACCUCUUCCUACCAGCAAAACUCUCAAUCUCACAGCCUAGAUGGAAAGCAAGCAGUUUCAGACUACAGCUCAAAAAGAGAAGCGUGCCAAGAGAGGCUUUGGGUGACCUGCCCUUUCUAAUUGCAAACUUCUAGGCACUCCCAGUUGAGUGGCAGGCAGUUUCCCCUUGCAUCCUUUCAACUGUCACACCCCACACAGCACUACACCUUCUACUCAGCUGCAAGGAGAAGGGCUAAUCCAGCAACAGGUUUGGGCCUGGCUGGUUUUACUGUGCGGGAGCUGUAGUGGACGCUCUGAACUCUGCCAGCCCAAAAGUGCUUCAGGUUACAUGGAGCUGAGGAAAACGUGCAGCACAAUCUUGGGGGUGUGCAGUUUAAGGCUGGUGCCUUCCACUUCCCUUCUCAGCUCUCCCAGCUAUCUCGUUCUGUCUCUCUUGCAGUGUUCUUGUCUGGCGAAAAUUUUUCAGCUCCACUUCUCCCAGGGAAAUUUGCAGAGAAAAGCUGGAAUUCUUACACGGUCUUUACUGCCAUCUGGCGUCCUUUUUUUGCACUUACAGUCCUUUUCGUGGUCUUAGUAGCACACAUCUCUUGAUCUUAGUUCAUAAAUUACUGUUGUAUCUUUUCUCUUCCAGUGAGUAGUUUCACAGCCUUGAAUGUUGGAUGCUGAUUGGUUAAUACUUUCAAGCUUAAAAACUCUGUCUCUUAUCUAAAGUUUAUAGGAUUCUCCAGCAGGUUAGGACAUUUUGCAUGGGCUCAGCUGCUGGACUCUUUAUGGUUCCCAAGACAGAUCUGCGAGAGUGGAAGAGGAGAGUGCAUAUAUGUGAGAAGGAAAGUGCCUAGCCCCAGGGUGUAGUGUGGAUUUGAAAGGCUGCAAGGAGAAGGGCGAAUCUAGCACCUGAUUUUGUCCUGGCCCGCUUUACUGGGAGGGAGCUGUAGAGGACACUCUGGACUCUGCCAGCCUUAAAGUGCUUCAGGGAACAGCUAGCUGAGAAGACAGUGCAGUGCAGGUUGGUGUCUGUACAGUUGAAAGGCUGCAAGUGGAAAAGGGCUGCCACUCCAUUGUGAGUGCAUAGAAGUUUGGAAUUAGAAGGGGUAGGUCACCAAAAGCUUUCUCUCUUGGUACACUUCCCAUAUGGUGCAUUCUUCUCAGCUAGAUGUACUCUGAAGGGUACAUGUCAUCCAGAAUGCUUUUAGAGACUGCAAACUCCUGGACAGUAUUGAAAAUGCUACCCUUAUUUGGCAAACUGUCUUACAAAACCUAUGAUAACCCACUUUGAGAUUACCUGGCAUGCUGCUAACUCAGCUGUAGAGGUGCUUGUCCAUUGCCCUCUCGACAGUGUCUAGGAGGGCUUAUAUUCAGACAGGCAAAUUUGAAAUUAACUAGAUGCAACAGGCCCUAUGCUUGACUCCCUGAUUGUUUCCCUGUGCUGGGAGACUAUCAUUAAGAUACUGAGUAAUUGUGUAGAGAUACAGGCUGGACACAGCCAGAUGAAGCCAUGGGCAGGAAGCUGUACAGGGACCUGACAGUUCAUGUGUACACUGCCGUGCCUGCUAAUAUGUCAUUGCAGCCCUCUGUUACUCUGGAUGGUGGAAGAGCUGCCUGUACCACACAUGCACAAUAUUCAUAUUUAUGAAAAAGGAACUGACCUAUUUUCCCUAAUGGUUUGUUUGAUUAUCUGUUAAGAAAGAGGUGGAGUAACUAAUUAGCACAACAUAGUUGGCACGAAAAUCUGUUUACUUCCUCAUUGGGAUUUGAACCUACAAAGACAAUUACCUUUGUAAUACUGCCAGAUGGACAUCCCUACCAGAGAAAACCAGACUCAGCUCUCUCUCAAGAAGGCCAUGGCCACACUUAAACCUGGGCAUAAGACUUAUGACAACACUCCAGAGUCACAUAGAGGAGCCAGAGGUCACAUUCAAGAGAAACACAAGUUUGCUCCAUAUCACAGGAAAAGAAGAUUGUGCUCUUUCAAUGACAAGCCAGUAUUGUGCCUUUUUCAGAUCACAAACCAAGGCUAGAGGCUGUAUUUAUGGAUCUGUCAUUGGCAUCUUUUUCAACCCUGAUAGUAUUCAGAUAAUCUAUAAAAUUUCUCCCUGUAUCAUCAGGCCAGAACUCUUUCUCUUGUGAAAAACAUAUCUUCCCAGAAUACCUCUAAAUCAAACUUUCAGCAGAGGUAUCUGUCAUAGGUUUGAAAAGAGAUGUUGGAAUUUUUUCCCUAGUGUCCCGUUUUUCCCGUUCCCCCCCGCGCUCCCCAUCUGUUUCUUCCGGGAUGGGGGGAGUCCGGGAGGGAGUGGGGGAUGGAGCGAAGCUGCACGCGCUUGGCAGCGCAGGAGCAGGGGAACGGGGAGGUUCCCCAGGGAAGCGCGGUUGCUGGGGGAGCACGCCUCGAGAGGCUCUUUGUUUGGAGGGUUUUUUUGGUUUUGGAUGGCCGACCGGACAGAGCGGGGAGCCCGGUUUCGGCUGACUCCUCUUUUCCUGAGAGGAAAUUUUUUUCCCCACGGGACACCUCGCAGAAAACGACUGAGAGAGAGAGACCGACCUAUCUCAGAGCGAGGUAUUCUGCCUUGGGACUGCCUGUGGGAAAAAGGACUCCUUCAUUGCUGACUGUGAAACCAUCGGCUGCUGGCUGCUGUGGGCACACAAGGCUACGAGCAGCUGUUGAACUGCCGGGACUGGUCUUUCCUUCCCCCACCUUCCCUUCCCCCCCCCGCCGGGUUGCCACGGGUUUCUCUCCCCCCACCUGGGGAAUUGGGACUUUGUAUUGUUUCUUCUGAAAGUUUUUGAUUGCACCAUUUGUUGUUUAUUCAGCUUUUGUUAAUAAAAAGCUGUUCUUUUCCUUUUCCACA